rnacentral:rRNA from 1 species
GACGAACGCUGGCGGCGUGCUUAACACAUGCAAGUCGAACGGAAAGGCCCUGCUUUUGUGGGGUGCUCGAGUGGCGAACGGGUGUGUAACACGUGAGUAACCUGCCCCUGACUUUGGGAUAACUUCAGGAAACUGGGGCUAAUACCGGAUAGGAGCUCCUGCUGCAUGGUGGGGGUUGGAAAGUUUCGGCGGUUGGGGAUGGACUCGCGGCUUAUCAGCUUGUUGGUGGGGUAGUGGCUUACCAAGGCUUUGACGGGUAGCCGGCCUGAGAGGGUGACCGGCCACAUUGGGACUGAGGUACGGCCCAGACUCCUACGGUAGGCAGCGGUGGGGAAUAUUGCACAAUGGGCGGAAGCCUGAUGCAGCAACGCCGCGUGCGGGAUGACGGCCUUCGGGUUGUAAACCGCUUUCGCCUGUGACGAAGCGUGAGUGACGGUACUGGGUAAAGAAGCACCGGCUAACUACGUG